CUCGGAAAGUUAGCUCUUUAAAACAAAAGAACUACUCAUGGUCUAACUAUUCUGACCUUUAAAAUAUAGUUUAAUUUAACUUAACAUCAUAUAAGAUUAAAUAUUAUUUGAGGAAAUUGAACUUUCUUGUUCUUCUGAGUUUCAAUCCUUAUAGUUGAAAUCCACUUAUUGUAAGUUGCUUUGGAUAAAAGCCUCAGAUAAAUGACAUGUGAUGGAAUGUAAAAUAAGAUUAUAUAUUAUGACAGCUCGUGGGAAAGCAGGUUAUUCAAAUUAAUAUUAUAUUAACUGUAUCAUGAAUUGUUAGGUACUGUUGUUUGAGCAGGUUUACACACAGUGAUCAUCACAAGGACAUUUGUUAAUUAUCAGGUUUUUUCUUCUUGCUUUUACUUAUUUUAGGUCAAAAAGGUUAAGAACCUUAGAGGUUCACCGUCUUAUAUUAGCAUGUUAGCAUGAACACGUGUCUUAUGUUAGCAUGAAGGUUCUUUGUCCAACCGUCGGGCACCAGAAGCUCAGCAAUCUUCUCCCCAUCACAGCGUCUCCCACCUGAGUGAAGAUGCCUUCAGGUACACUCCCUUAUUUUCAUAGCUGAGGUUUCUCCUCUGCACGCUACCUCCGCCUCCCUCAGGGCCGGCGGUCUGAUCCCGUCUGUUGUUCUUGGCCUGUGGAGGACGACCUCCUCUUAAAUAUGUGCUCUUUGCACGAGAGGGGAGCCAGAAGAACGAGAAGAAAACUGACACGUCUGCAUUUAUUCUCCAUAUUGUUUUAGCUUUUUCAUGUUACUUCAACAACAUGGUGUCACGUUUGCUUCUUCUUCCAGCAAACAGAAAGUGACGUGUGCAGUGAGAAGAAAGUGAGCGGUGGUCUUGGUCCUGAUGGACCUCAGCCUCCUGCCCGAUGGAGGGGACACGGGGUCCUCAGGGCGUCCCGUUGUGGCCGCUAACAGCCAACAAGACGCCGUCCAGCCCGCUGGUCUCCAGACUCACCUGGUGGAGGUCACCUGUGUACUUUCUUUUAUUAUAGCGUUACGUGUUUAACACCAGGCGGUCAGGAGCGAGCGCAGCGUGUGACUCACUGAGCGCUGCAGUCAUGUGACAGUGAAAUCACCACGUGGAGACUUUGUCCACACGAGGGGGAACUUGCACCACGUCGCACCGCCCAGUCGGAGGAGGGUGCAGCAUAAUUCCUCCAUUUUAAAUUCCUGAGUAAGAAUCCUUGGUGAGUUAAAGCCCCUCGGGCGCCAAUCUGCCCUCAGACAGCGAGGCUCCAGAUGGGCGUCAGCCGCCAAUCACCGGGAGCUUCAAGCCCCGGCGUGCCGCCGAGAGGGACGUUACCGUGACGAUGAGAAACAACACACGGCGACUCACAGUGAGAUGAGGAUGAUGAUGAUGUAUCAAAAGGAGAAAGUGUGAGGAAGAAGAGAAGAAGGAAAGGAGUUAAGGAAAAGACAGUGGAGGAGACAAUGUGAGGAGAGGAAACGAGAGAGGAGCUGAAGCUUUGGGGGGUGGGGGUGGACGGGGGAGGAGCCUCGGAGCUGGUCGUUUUUCAACGGCGCCAUCUCGGAUGCCUCAAAGGAAGUGAGCGAGGUCCGAGGACGAAAGGUCGUAAGGGUCAGGACUCGCCCCAUCGACCUCUGACCUCUGACCAGCGUCACUGGAGGAGCUUUAGUUCUUCUAAGAUGCUUUUCUGUAGUGCAACAGUUUUACAGGAUGCGAAUGAAACAAACGUCCCAAUAGAUUAUUGACCGUCUAAAUGUGUUUGUGUUUUCAGCAGUAGAGCAAAGUACAUUUAGAGGUACUUUUACCUGAGGUUUCAGGGCUCUACAAUAAUUUAAAUUAUGUUUAUUUAACAUCUACAUGAAGAAGAAUUCACCAGAUAUUCUACUUUCUAAAGUGACCCAGCCUCCUCAGCACCAGGCUGUGAUCGGUCUGCUGACUCUCACGUUCCUGUUGUUCUGGAGGUGAAUCGCUCUGCAACACACGCAAGACUUUACAACCAGGAAGUGAGACCAGCGCGUAAAGACCAACGUGAAGACGCAGGAACACGUCUCGGCCUCCAGUCGAGGUCUCUUCAGUGGGGAUGUGCUCACGGCUCAGGUACGAUGACCCCGUUGACCUCCUGCGGUUCCUCCUGUCGGCUCAAAGGACCCAGAGACCGAAUCAAAGAACACGUCUUUGGACGCACAAACACUCUCCUUCCACCAGUAGUCGCAGCAGGAUCUGUCCUCUGUCCUCGCAGGUCUGCAUGGUCCUGGUUCUGUGGACGUCCUCGGGGACCCUGCUGCUCAGUCGUUGGGGACGUGUUCCCGUUCCGGGGGAACCGACCGCAAAACCCUCAAAGGUCCGAUUGGGCUAAAAUGAAAUAAAAUGAAUUGAAAUAUUCUAAAGGAGCUUUGUCACAAUCCAAAGCGUGUACUAACGUGUACUACUAGCAUGUACUAACAUGUACUACUAGCGUGUACUAACGUGUACUAACGUGAUCAGAUUUGAAUUAUGCAGAAUUUCUGUCAACUCAAAUGAUCAUUUUCACAUUUUGUCACAGAAAGUGUUGGAAAGUAAGAACUUUUUGUUCAUGUGUCAAAUAAAAUAUUAUUUUUAACGAUGCUUGUUUCACUCUCCUGGUGGUGACGUCUCACAGGAGGACACGUGGGAGGACACAUACCUGUAGAUUAUUGUUAUAUCGGACGGACAGACGACAUCUCGUGAUGAAAGUUGUGCUAAAAAGAACAUGUGAGGAGAUCCAGUUGAUUACGUGACAUUAAAACGAUCACAGCUGCACUGUGGUAUCAUUUAUUGAUCACGGUGGUUCUACAAUAUUCUCAUCAUGUUAUUGAUUACGUAGCUCCAGAGUCAUGGCUGUAACCCGGUGACCCUGAAUGUUGAUUUGAGAGCCGGGUGUUUUAUUUCUAACGUCCGCUUCCUGUCAACGCUCGGCGGUGCGUUUGACUUGUCGUCGGGGGGCCGGUCGCUCGGGGCCCAGAGGCCUCUGGGACGCUGCGGGUGAGGAAUAUUACAGGAAGAGGGCGACGGGGGCGAGCUGCUGACGUCCAGCCGUGGUCACCCGCUUAGUCAGAGACAGGAAGUCCUGUUGGUUUUACUCACAGGGAACCCAAAGCAAACACAGCUGGGAUUGGUCAGGUCCCUCCCCCCCAGGCCUCUGCUCCACCAAUCACGUGGAGGCGGAAAAUGACGAGCAGAGCGCCGUCUGUCCGUCUGGCGCCCACAUUUAACCCCUUAAUGAGUCACGCCUUCAAAAUAAAGUACCGUUUCAAACCAAACAAAACAACGGCUUUAAAGGUCUUAUUCAUUUCAAUGUGCUUCAUGUCAACAUUACUUUGCCGUCCCAACUAAUAAUCAAUCGUCAAUAUUCAAUCAGUCAAGAUCACUCAUAAGGAAGAAUGCGUCAAAAUAAAGUUCCUUGUGGGCUUUUGUUUUAUGUUUCAGGGGAAGUUUCUUCUCUCAGAGCCAGAAUGUUUCUGUAUUAUUCCAUAAACACAGUGACCGUUUAUGACUGUGAGACGGAACCUUCACAGAAGCUUCUUUAUUCUUUCUUUCCAAAAUGAGUUUCAAAGGAUUUGAGGGUUUAUAAUUAUACAUGAACUAUUGUUUUCUACUCCAGCGUUUGCUUUAAUAUUCAGUGAUUUACAAGAUUUAGCUGACGGAUAUUUAAUCUACAGCGGCAACAAACGUUGUCAAAGAAAGAAGCCUGAAAUGAUGCGUUGAGGAUAUUGAAGUUUGAUGGACGUUAAGUAGUCCUUUUGUUUUGUAAUCCUUUAUUGUAUCCUAGCAACAUGGUAGUGAUGAAUAAAUAAUAAGACGUUUGUG
ensembl:lncRNA